rnacentral:rRNA from 1 species
ACAGAGGGUGCAAGCGUUAAUCGGAAUUACUGGGCGUAAAGCGUGCGUAGUCGGUUAUCUAAGUCGGAUGUGAAAUCCCCGGGCUCAACCUGGGAAUUGCAUUCGAAACUGAAUAGCUAGAGUUCGGCAGAGGGAAGUGGAAUUUCCGGUGUAGCGGUGAAAUGCGUAGAUAUCGGAAGGAACAUCAGUGGCGAAAGCGACUUCCUGGACCAGAACUGACGAUCAGGCACGAAAGCGUGGGGAGCAAACAGGAUUAGAUACCCUGGUAGUCCACGCCAUAAACGAUGACAACUAGACGUUGGGAGGGUAAGCCUCACAGUGUCGCAGCUAACGCGUUAAGUUGUCCGCCUGGGGAGUACGGCCGCAAGGUUG